AAGUCGUAACAAGGUCUCCGUUGGUGAACCAGCGGAGGGAUCAUUACAGAGUUAUCUAACUCCCAAACCCAUGUGAACUUACCAUUGUUGCCUCGGCAGAACCUACCCGGUACCUACCCUGUAACGAGCUACCCUGUAGCGAGUUGCCCGGAACCGUACUGUUUGGCGGGCAUCUGCCGGUGGACCUCUAAACUCUUGUUAUUUAUAGUAAUCUGAGCGUCUUAUUUUAAUAAGUCAAAACUUUCAACAACGGAUCUCUUGGUUCUG
rnacentral:misc_RNA from 1 species